rnacentral:rRNA from 1 species
GACGAACGCUGGCGGCGUGCUUAACACAUGCAAGUCGAACGGAAAGGCCCUGCUUUUGUGGGGUGCUCGAGUGGCGAACGGGUGAGUAACACGUGAGUAACCUGCCCUUCACUCUGGGAUAACUCUUGGAAACUGGGGCUAAUACCGGAUAUGAGCUAUUGCAGCAUGGGGGUUGUUGGAAAGUUUCGGCGGUUGGGGUUAGACUAGAGGCUUAUCAGCUUUUUGGUGGGGUAGUGGCUUACCAAGGGUGUGGCGGGUAGGCGGCCUGGCGGGGUGGCCGGGCACAAUGGGACUGGGAGACGGCCCAGACUCCUACGGGAGGCAACAGGGGGGAAUAUUGCACAAUGGGGGGGAGCCUGAUGCAACAAUGCCGGGGGCGGGAUGACGGGCUUCGGGGUGGAAACCGCUUUCGACGGGGACGAAGCGGUAGUGACGGUAAUGGGUAAAGAAGCAACGGCUAACUACGUG